rnacentral:rRNA from 1 species
GCAAGUCGAACGAAGUAGCAAUACUUAGUGGCAGACGGGUGAGUAACAUGUAGGUAUCUACCCUUUGGCCUGGAAUAACACGAGGAAACUUGUGCUAAUACCGGAUAAGUCUUUACGGAGAAAGCUUUAUGCACCAUUGGAUGAGCCUGCACUUGAUUAGUUUGUUGGUGGGGUAAUGGCCUACCAAGACUGUGAUCAAUAGCUGAUUUGAGAGGAUGAUCAGCCACAUUGGGACUGAGACACGGCCCAAACUCCUACGGGAGGCAGCAGUGGGGAAUCUUGCACAAUGGAGGAAACUCUGAUGCAGCGAUGCCGCGUGAGUGAAGAAGGCCCUUGGGUUGUAAAGCUCUUUCGUCGGGGAAGAAAAUGACUGUACCCGAAUAAGAAGGUCCGGCUAACUUCGUGCCAGCAGCCGCGGUAAUACGAAGGGACCUAGCGUAGUGCGGAAUUACUGGGCUUAAAGAGUUCGUAGGUGGUUGAAAAAGUUAGUGGUGAAAUCCCAGAGCUUAACUCUGGAACUGCCAUUAAAACUUUUCAGCUAGAGUAUGAUAGAGGAAGGCAGAAUUUCUAGUGUAGAGGUGAAAUUCGUAGAUAUUAGAAAGAAUACCAAUUGCGAAGGCAGCUUUCUGGAUCAUUACUGACGCUGAGGAACGAAAGCAUGGGUAGCGAAGAGGAUUAGAUACCCUCGUAGUCCAUGCCGUANACGAUGUGUGUUAGACGUUGGAAAUUUAUUUUCAGUGUCGCAGCGAAAGCGAUAAACACACCGCCUGGGGAGUACGACCGCAAGGUUAAAACUCAAAUGAAUUGACGGGGACCCGCACAAGUAGUGGAGCAUGUGGUUUAAUUCGAAGAUACGCGCAGAACCUUUACCACACUUGACAUGUUCGUCGCGACUC